CAGGAACAUCAUGGAAAAUAAUUGUCAUGAUGCAGAUUGUGGUACCAGCUAAUGAAAACCUAUAAGUAUAAGCCAGUAUUACCUCUACUAUGAGACCUUAUACAUGCUGCCAUAUGAAGGCUCGGCGGCUGAGGGAUGAGGUGCCAAGCUCGGCUAAAAGUGAAUUAAGGCCUUCUCUGCACUUCCGCAUCAGCAACAAGAUGAGGAUGUACAGCAUAUAAAUCUGAGUGGUGGACAAGCACAAAAACAAUAACUCUCAGGCAUUAGAGUGCCUACUAUAAAUUAACCUUGAAGGCUCUGGAGAUGAGGUAAUUGGCGUGGCACCUGUGGCGUUGGACACUCGCGGCCUAUUUUUAAACGAAGGUUUAACAGAUUGUCACCGAAAUGUCAGAUUGCUAAUUAGUAACACACCAUCUGACUGGGAGACCUGUGUACAUUGUCAACAAUAGCGAGCACUAUGCGGUGUAAAAAAAAAAAAAAUACUUAUGUGAAAGGAAGAACAUUGACAGACAGAUUUGUUUGUUUCUGUGAAUGCUCAUGGUGACUUAUCUGAGCUAGAUGAGAACGGAUUACACAGAUGUCAAAAGCAGAACCAAUGACUAGAUACAAUGUAAAAAGAGAUGUCAUCAGAUCAUGGCAUUUAAUGGCUACAGGAAAAAUGUAGAUGAAUAUUCUUGACCAUCUUUUUGGGUCUAGGUAGUCAGCACCGUC